rnacentral:rRNA from 1 species
AACGAACGCUGGCGGCAUGCCUAACACAUGCAAGUCGAACGAGACCUUCGGGUCUAGUGGCGCACGGGUACGUAACGCGUGGGAACCUGCCCUUAGGUUCGGAAUAACUCCCCGAAAGGGGUGCUAAUACCGGAUAAUGUCUUCGGACCAAAGAUUUAUCGCCUUUGGAUGGGCCCGCGUUGGAUUAGCUAGUUGGUAGGGUAAAAGCCUACCAAGGCGACGAUCCAUAGCUGGUCUGAGAGGAUGAUCAGCCACACUGGGACUGAGACACGGCCCAGACUCCUACGGGAGGCAGCAGUGGAGAAUAUUGGACAAUGGGCGAAAGCCUGAUCCAGCAAUGCCGCGUGAGUGAUGAAGGCCUUAGGGUUGUAAAGCUCUUUUACCCGGGAUGAUAAUGACAGUACCGGGAGAAUAAGCGCCGGCUAACUCCGUG